rnacentral:rRNA from 1 species
CAGUCGCCGCGGUAAUACGUAGGGGGCAAGCGUUAUCCGGAAUUACUGGGUGUAAAGGGAGCGUAGACGGUUAAACAAGUCUGAAGUGAAAUGCCGGGGCUCAACCCCGGAGCUGCUUUGGGAACUGUAGAACUGGAGUGUCGGAGGGGUAAGCGGAAUUCCCAGUGUAGCGGUGAAAUGCGUAGAUAUUGGGAGGAACACCGGCGGCGAAGGCGGCUUACUGGACGACAACUGACGUUGAGGCUCGAAGGCGUGGGUAGCAAACAGGAUUAGAUACCCGCGUAGUCCCUGUCUCUUAUAC